CAUGCCAUAAACGAUGUUCACUAAACGUUCGUUUCCCGCGAGGGAAGUGGGUGUUGAAGCUAACGCAGUAAGUGAACCGCCUGGGGAGUACGGUCGCAAGGCUAAAACUCAAAGGAAUUGACGGGGGACCGCACAAGCAGCGGAGCGUGUGGUUUAAUUCGAGGCUACACGAAGAACCUUACCUAGGUUUGACAUCGUACUGAAGUCUGCGUGAAAGCGUGGAUGUCCCGCAAGGGACAGUAUGACAGGUGC
rnacentral:rRNA from 1 species